GUGAGGAAUUUUCCGCAAUGGGCGAAAGCCUGACGGAGCAAUGCCGCGUGAAGGAUGAAGGCCUAUGGGUUGUAAACUUCUUUUCUUAGAGAAGAAUAUUGACGGUAUCUGAGGAAUAAGCAUCGGCUAACUCUGUGCCAGCAGCCGCGGUAAGACAGAGGAUGCAAGCGUUAUCCGGCAUGAUUGGGCGUAAAGCGUCUGUAGGUGGCUUCAAAAGUCUCCUGUCACAGAUCAGGGCUUAACCCUGGGCCGGCAGGAGAAACUCUGAGGCUAGAGUUUGGUAGGGGCAGAGGGAAUUCCCGGUGGAGCGGUGAAGUGCGUAGAGAUCGGGAGGAACACCAAAGGCGAAAGCACUCUGCUGGGCCACAACUGACACUGAGAGACGAAAGCGAGGGGAGCAAAAGGGAUUAGAAACCCCGGUAGUCC
rnacentral:rRNA from 1 species